UCCACACAAAGGAGUUCAGCUCUACGUGGAGAAAAAAUAGAAAAGUCCAAAAGACACCAAAAUGGGUAUCAGCAAGUUACUGAAUAAGCCUUCAGGGGGGGAUAAAGAAAUUCAUCCAGAAUAUCAGGUGGUCACCCUGCAGCCGGAAGUUAAUGUGAUCAUCACUCCACUGGAUAAACCACUGCCAGAUUACCUGGGUUACUCCAUCUUUACCACACUGUGCUGUUUUUUACCUCUUGGCCUUUCUGCUCUGGUUUACUCCAUCACAACUCGAAAUGCAAACCUGUUUGGACACCGACAAAUGGCAAAGAAAAACUCCAGCAUGGCACGCAAACUUAACCAUGUCAGUCUUGGUAUUGGCAUUACAAUAUAUUUGUUGGUUAUCGGCUUAUAUCUUCUUGCUAGGUUCCAAUUUGCAAAUUCUUUUAGGUUUUUUUAACGGUGCACCUUUUGCUAGGGAAAUGAAUAUGCCUUUACCUUCAGGAAGUAUGAACACAUGUUAAUGGGCUAUAGGUACUGUCAUACAACUGCAGAGGACUGUGUGUGGGUCAGUGUGUGGGAGAUAGAGCCUGUCGUAGUGUUGUUGACAAACGUUUGGAUAACUGUGAUAUUUUUUGUUUGGAAGAAACUUUUUUUACCUAAGCAGGACUUUUUUUAACAAUGAAAGCUUUGAUUAUCAAACUGAAUGUACCAUAAGGUGAAAUUUUUUUUCUUUAUAUUUUACAUACAUUAAUGCUUAGUGUAUGAUGAAUAACAAAUGUAUUCAGAAUUCAUUCUAAUCAGAUAUGUACUUGCUGUCAUGUUUUUUUUUUUUAGAAAUGUCCGAAACUAUUGACUUAAAGUGAUUUUUAUCUUAAAGUGGAUUUUCUGCAAUGGCUUUAAAAACCUCUCCCUAUGUUUUGGGUUGUUCAUUUAACUUUUUUAUAAUGUUUCUGGAAUAAACGAGUAAACAUUGCUUUUAUAAACUUCCAGUAUUAAUAAAGGUUAUUAUUAUUACAGACA